CAGUCGCCGCGGUAAAACGUAGGUAGCAAGCGUUGUCCGGAAUUAUUGGGCGUAAAGCGCGCGCAGGCGGCUUCCCAAGUCCCUCUUAAAAGUGCGGGGCUUAACCCCGUGAUGGGAAGGAAACUGGGAAGCUGGAGUAUCGGAGAGGAAAGUGGAAUUCCUAGUGUAGCGGUGAAAUGCGUAGAGAUUAGGAAGAACACCGGUGGCGAAGGCGACUUUCUGGACGAAAGCUGACGCUGAGGCGCGAAAGCGUGGGGAGCAAACAGGAUUAGAUACCCGAGUAGUCCCUGUCUCUUAUACA
rnacentral:rRNA from 1 species